AACGCACGAGACCUGCGGACCUGCGGAGGGAUCAUUAAUGAGAAACUGCCCCUCGCGGGUAGAUCUCCCACCCUUUGUAAACUUACCUUUGUUGCUUUGGCAGGCCCGUCUCCGGACCGCCGGCUUCGGCUGGCCAGUGCCUGCCAGAGGAUUCUAAAACUCUGUCUGUCAGUGUUGUCUGAGUCUACAUACAAUCGUUAAAACUUUCAGCAAUGGAUCUCUAGAUCGGAAGAGCACACG
rnacentral:misc_RNA from 1 species